UACGUAGGUGGCAAGCGUUGUCCGGAAUUACUGGGCGUAAAGGGCGCGUAGGCGGCUUAUCAAGUCAGGCGUGAAAUUCCCGGGCUCAACCUGGGGGCUGCGCUUGAUACUGAUUGGCUUGAAUGCGGGAGAGGAUAGUGGAAUUCCCAGUGUAGAGGUGAAAUUCGUAGAUAUUGGGAAGAACACCGGUGGCGAAGGCGGCUAUCUGGCCCGUAAUUGACGCUGAGGCGCGAAAGCGUGGGGAGCAAACAGG
rnacentral:rRNA from 1 species